GACUCCGUGGCCUAAAGGAUAAGGCGUCUGACUUCGGAUCAGAAGAAUGCGAGUUAAAGUCUCGUCGGGUCG